AUUGAACGCUGGCGGCAUGCUUUACACAUGCAAGUCGAACGGUAACAGGCCUUCGGGUGCUGACGAGUGGCGAACGGGUGAGUAAUGCAUCGGAACGUACCCAGAGGUGGGGGAUAACGCAUCGAAAGCUGUGCUAAUACCGCAUGUGAUCUGAGGAUGAAAGCGGGGGACCGAGCAGCAAUGUUUGGCCUCGCGCCUUUGGAGCGGCCGAUGUCGGAUUAGCUAGUUGGUGGGGUAAAGGCCUACCAAGGCGACGAUCCGUAGCUGGUCUGAGAGGACGACCAGCCACACUGGGACUGAGACACGGCCCAGACUCCUACGGGAGGCAGCAGUGGGGAAUUUUGGACAAUGGGCGAAAGCCUGAUCCAGCAAUGCCGCGUGAGGGAAGAAGGCCUUCGGGUUGUAAACCGCUUUUGGCAGGAACGAAACGGUGUCCGCUAAUACCGGGCGCUAAUGACGGUACCUGCAGAAUAAGCACCGGCUAACUACGUG
rnacentral:rRNA from 1 species